rnacentral:rRNA from 1 species
AAAUUGAAGAGUUUGAUCAUGGCUCAGAUUGAACGCUGGCGGCAGGCCUAACACAUGCAAGUCGAACGGUAACAGGAAGCAGCUUGCUGCUUCGCUGACGAGUGGCGGACGGGUGAGUAAUGUCUGGGAAACUGCCUGAUGGAGGGGGAUAACUACUGGAAACGGUAGCUAAUACCGCAUAACGUCGCAAGACCAAAGAGGGGGACCUUCGGGCCUCUUGCCAUCGGAUGUGCCCAGAUGGGAUUAGCUUGUUGGUGGGGUAACGGCUCACCAAGGCGACGAUCCCUAGCUGGUCUGAGAGGAUGACCAGCCACACUGGAACUGAGACACGGUCCAGACUCCUACGGGAGGCAGCAGUGGGGAAUAUUGCACAAUGGGCGCAAGCCUGAUGCAGCCAUGCCGCGUGUAUGAAGAAGGCCUUCGGGUUGUAAAGUACUUUCAGCGGGGAGGAAGGGAGUAAAGUUAAUACCUUUGCUCAUUGACGUUACCCGCAGAAGAAGCACCGGCU